AAUAGAUGACACCAUUGACUUUUUCUUACAUGUUUGACCAUCCGUCUUAUUUAAAAAAUUUAUGUAAUUAUAAUUUAUUUUUUUAUGAGUUGUUUUAUCACUCAUAGUACUUUAAAUGUGAUUUGUAUCUUAUACAUUUGCAUAAAAUUUUUGAAUAAGACGAAUGGUCAAACAUGUGAGAAAAAGUCAGCGGCAUCAUCUAGG
rnacentral:pre_miRNA from 1 species